rnacentral:rRNA from 1 species
GACGAACCGUGCGAACGUUGUUCGGAAUCACUGGGCUUAAAGGGCGCGUAGGCGGGUCGAAAAUUCCGUGGUGAAAUCCCCCCGCUCAACGGGGGAACGGCCGCGGAUACUGUCGGCCUCGAGGGGGGUAGGGGCGAGCGGAACGCUGGGUGGAGCGGUGAAAUGCGUUGAUAUCCAGCGGAACUCCGGUGGCGAAGGCGGCUCGCUGGGCCGUUCCUGACGCUGAGACGCGAAAGCUAGGGGAGCGAACAGG